rnacentral:tRNA from 1 species
UCUAAGGAAAUCGAAAAGAUUUUUUUCGAUUUAAAAAAAUAGGUUAAUGUGACCGUCCUCAUUUCUCUUCUUUUAAUGUCUCUGAGUAAAUAAAGUGUAAGUAAGGGGCCGGUAGCUCAGGUGGUUAGAGCGCACCCCUGAUAAGGGUGAGGUCGGAAGUUCGAGUCUUCCUCGGCCCACCAAUAUUACGGGGGAUUAGCUCAGCUGGGAGAGCGCCUGAUUUGCAUUCAGGAGGUCAGCGGUUCGAUCCCGCUAUCCUCCACCAAAAUUUGAGACAUUUAGCUUUUUUAAAUUGUGAAUAUUAUUAUUAUCAAUAUCUAUAUCCGAUUGUUUUCAGAUAUUUUUUUGAAAACAAUCAAAACAAAAAUUUAAUUUAUAACAGAAAAAUUUUUUUCUGUGCAUAAAU